GAUGAACGCUGGCGGCGUGCUUAACACAUGCAAGUCGAACGGGAUCCAUCAAGCUUGCUUGGUGGUGAGAGUGGCGAACGGGUGAGUAAUGCGUGACCGACCUGCCCCAUGCUCCGGAAUAGCUCCUGGAAACGGGUGGUAAUGCCGGAUGUUCCACAUGAUCGCAUGUGAUUGUGGGAAAGAUUCUAUCGGCGUGGGAUGGGGUCGCGUCCUAUCAGCUUGUUGGUGAGGUAACGGCUCACCAAGGCUUCGACGGGUAGCCGGCCUGAGAGGGCGACCGGCCACAUUGGGACUGAGAUACGGCCCAGACUCCUACGGGAGGCAGCAGUGGGGAAUAUUGCACAAUGGGCGCAAGCCUGAUGCAGCGACGCCGCGUGAGGGAUGGAGGCCUUCGGGUUGUAAACCUCUUUUGUUUGGGAGCAAGCCUUCGGGUGAGUGUACCUUUCGAAUAAG
rnacentral:rRNA from 1 species